UACGUAGGGGGGCUAGCGUUGUCCGGAAUCAUUGGGCGUAAAGAGCGUGUAGGCGGUUCGGUAAGUCCGCUGUGAAAGUCGGGGGCUCAACCCUCGAAUGCCGGUGGAUACUGUCGGACUAGAGUACGGAAGAGGCGAGUGGAAUUCCUGGUGUAGCGGUGAAAUGCGCAGAUAUCAGGUGGAACACCGAUGGCGAAGGCAGUGAUCUGGGCCAGUACUGACGCUGAGGAGCGAAAGGCGUGGGGAGCAAACAGG
rnacentral:rRNA from 1 species